UGGCGGACGGGUGAGUAACGCGUGGAAAACCUGCCGUAUACUGGGGGAUAACACUUAGAAAUAGGUGCUAAUACCGCAUAAGCGCACAGCUUCGCAUGAAGCGGUGUGAAAAACUCUGGUGGUAUACGAUGGUUCCGCGUCUGAUUAGCUAGUUGGUGGGGUAAUGGCCUACCAAGGCAACGAUCAGUAGCCGGCCUGAGAGGGUGUAACGGCCACAUUGGGACUGAGACACGGCCCAAACUCCUACGGAAGGCAGCAG
rnacentral:rRNA from 1 species